AGGAUAGGAAAGACCGGUUCCCACCAGUUCGUUUGUCUCAGCACUCAUCCGGGCUGGUAACUGACUGGAGCUGGUGGAAACAUUUAGUCAACUUUUUUGUAGUGGGUUAGUUUAUGCGGUGCCACUGCGGGUGGGCAGCCUGCAUGCCAGGGUCGGUGGGGAGCUAAGGACUUCUUCCUGUGUGUUUCAUGAAAUGUCCCUAGCCACCCUCAGAGGCGCGCGUGCACCUCUUCAACCCUGUUUUCAGUUGAAGAGUAAGAGAAGGCUAGCGAGCGUUGCGACACGACUUCAUCGGACUGUACAGUUAGCGAGUGGUAAAGCGGCAAGUCAGCUCCCUGGGGAGACCUGCUCCAGGGUCCUCACGAGCGAUCUCCGCCACACUGCCUAAGACGUGCUUGCAGAACGCCACAAAUGGAGGAGGAGCUUGCUGCAGGCGGAGGGAGAGGGAACUACUUGCUCAGUCUGAAAUGGCAGGCUUCUGUGUCCUUGCCAGUCUCUGUGCUGACAGGAGCAUGGAAGGGCCUCUGUCCAGGGACACCAUGCUGUGCUGCAGACACUGUUUCAUUUAACCCUCAUGGAAGCCCAAGGGGUAGGAUUCUAACAGCAGGCCACAGCUGUCCCUGUCCUUGGGGCUUGCAGACAACUGGAUAGCUGAGUGUGUGGGUCCACGAGAUAGCUUGGAAAGUAAGGGUGUUUGCUGCUAAGCCCGAUGACCCAGAAUUCACAUUACAAGGAAAGAGAACCGAUCCGCAGGAGCCCGUGUCUGCAUGCAGGACUCUGAAAAUAUGAAGCUUUACCUGAGCAGGGCGUUCACAGGAUUUCCUCUUUGUCUCUCCAUACCCAAAAUACUAAAAGAGGGUUCAUGCCUCACUUAAUAAAUGCAGGCUGGGCAGACUUUAUACAGGACCUGCUUUUCUAACAGCAGCCACCAGGUGAGUGUGAGUGUUGCAUUAGGAAUAAAACAUAUUUGGUUGUGUGACUAAACUUUGUGUCUUUGUGUGAAUUAGUGGACCCUACAGGAGCAAAGGCUACUUAGGGAGCUCCUCCUCCUCGGGGUAGGGUGCUGUUGGUCCUGAGGCCUGGGUGCUACUGGACCUGGGUGCUGAGUGCUAGGUACUGCUGGACCUUGGAACUGGGUGCUGGACCUGGAGACUGGGUGCUUCUGUACCUGGGGAUUGGGUGCUGCUGGAAAUGAAAUAGACAGCCACAUCCUGCUUGGCAGUCAGGGGGCAGAGAGCAAGAGAUGCUGGACCUGAACUGGGCUUUUGAAACCUCAAAGCCCACCCCCAGCAGCACAACUCCUCCAACAAGGUCAUAAACAUACCAAAACAUUGACCUUCAUGUGUCUACGUCUGAGAUUAACUGCAAUAAUGAGAAGAGGGAAUAUAGCAGUGAGACAUUAAGAGGAAAGGUGACCCAGUGCGGCUGGUGCUUGUUGAAGCUGGACAGCUGACACAAGGGGUUCACUACGUUGUUUGCUGUACUUUUAGGUCUUCCGGGGUGGAGCUGUGUAUUCCUCUGAGCCCUUGUUGUGACAUAGAGUGAAUAGGGUGAGGAGGAGCCAUUCAGCAACUUGGUCUAGCAGGAAGCUCUCCUUCAUGACCUGAUGGUAUCAAGCGCCCCCAUGUGGCAAAUGUCUAAAUCGUCUCUGCCGGCAAUAAAUGUAUGUCUGCUCACUAGAAUGUGCACUUCUUGGACACGAGUCACACUCCCCAGACCAGGAUAAGGCCUGCUUGUGUUUGCUGAGAUAAUAAAUGAGUGGACAAAGAAGCUGGAGAUGAGACUCUCACAGAGGAGAUUUCUCUGAGGGGAGAAACCAAAGCCUCAAAGCCCAGCCUGAGAGCUAAGGAGAUGACCUGGGAGGUUAAGAACACUGGCUGUGCCUGCGGAGGACACAAGUUUGGUUCCUAGCAUCCACAUAGGACAACACGGAACUUCUAUAAAUCCAGCCGCCCAGGAUCCGACAUCCUCUGCUGGUACUUACACUCAUUCAUAUUCACACCAUUUAAAGACUUUUGAAUGAAUCUUAAAAAUAGAAAAGAAACAAACAAGAGUAAGAAACCAAGCCUGGCAUUUAGCCCAUGUUUCCAACCCUUUAGAUGGGUUAUUUCAAUUAACUUUCAGAAUUAAACCACAAAGAGGGUUAGAGGUAUAGCCCAUUUUAAGAGGUGCUUGCCUAGCAUACACUACACCUGGUUCUGAUCCCAGGGCACAUACACACAAAAGUAGAGAGAUUAGUCUCCUCCAAGGGGGUGAGAGCACUGCCUAACACCACAUUAGCUAACACACGAUGGUCGUGAGCACAGGAUGUCACGUCACGCCCCAGGUGAUCUGUGCAUGUCUUCAUUGCUGUCAUUUAAUUCUACCUGACAUUUCUGUUUACCAUUCUGAUUACCAAGGGAGAUACGUGUAAUUUCCUGUCAUCCACCCAGUGUUAGCAAAACGUUAAGUCUUGACCAUGAAGGAAUUGUCUGGAUCUACUUGGGGCUGAUCAGUAAGUGGCCACUCUUUGCAAGUGUUUGCACAGAUGGCUGCCUCAGUACACAGAGGUGCUCUAGCUAUAAGGACGGAGGGCAUAAAAACAGUAAGCUGGGCUCGGGGCACAGUACACUACUGGGAGAGCGAGGCUUAGAAUGUCCAAGGUCCUGAGGUACCUUAUGUUUACAAUGAGGCAAAUCUGGGCAAGAGAUAGUCAGGCGUUCAAGGAGCAAACAAGUGGGAAAAGAUGGAAGUGUUUGGAGGAGACUCGAAGCUUUGUGUUUCCUCUUUGAAUCAUUUACUUCUCCAGCUAGUUAUUCUUUACGUUGUUUGCAAGGUCUUGUCUUUCCCAUUUGAAACACAGUUGGCCAGCAGCUGGAGAUGCUGAACACUGGCGUGUAUAAAACCCUAGACUCCAUUCUCAACAGGUUUAAAAAAAAAAAAAAAGGCUAGUCACUUCUGCUCCAGCAAACCAGGUUGUGACUUCCGGGGCUGCAGUGGCUAAGGACAGUGUUGCAGCAACAUAACAUAAUCAUAAAGACCUCUGCCUUUAUUGUCUGUUUCAGUCUAUGCCACAUGAAACCCUAACCAAGUUCUUCCACCAGUAAGCCAGUUAAAACAGCCAAGUUCACAGUGAAAGAGCUGAAAACGGAAGAGGGACAAAGAGAACAGCUGAUCAGGAUUCCUCUUCCAGAGCCAAACGUGAGGUUAGGUUUAAAUUGAAGCCAGAGUUGAUAGUUUCCUGACUA
rnacentral:lncRNA from 1 species